rnacentral:rRNA from 1 species
UACGUAGGUGGCGAGCGUUGUCCGGAUUUAUUGGGCGUAAAGAGCGUGUAGGCGGCCUGACAGGUCUGCUGUGAAAACUCGAGGCUCAACCUCGAGAUGUCGACGGAAACCGUCUGGCUAGAGUCCGGAAGAGGAGAGUGGAAUUCCUGGUGUAGCGGUGAAAUGCGCAGAUAUCAGGAAGAACACCUAUGGCGAAGGCAGCUCUCUGGGACGGUACUGACGCUGAGACGCGAAAGCGUGGGGAGCGAACAGG